rnacentral:rRNA from 1 species
UACGGAGGGUGCAAGCGUUGUUCGGAAUCACUGGGCGUAAAGGGCGUGUAGGCGGUCCGCUAAGUCUGAUGUGAAAGCCCGGGGCUCACCCCCGGAAGGGCAUUGGAAACUGGCGAACUCGAGUCCCGGAGAGGAGGGUGGAAUUCCCGGUGUAGCGGUGAAAUGCGUAGAUAUCGGGAAGAACACCCGUGGCGAAGGCGGCUCUCUGGGACGGUACUGACGCUGAGACGCGAAAGCGUGGGGAGCGAACAGG